UCUGGUGGCAAUAGCGAAGAGGUCACACCUGUUCCCAUGCCGAACACAGUAGUUAAGCUCUUUUGCGCCAAUGGUAGUUGGGACUUUGUCCCUGUGAGAGUAGGACGUCGCCAGGC
rnacentral:rRNA from 1 species